rnacentral:tRNA from 1 species
GGGCGAUUAGCUCAGCGGAAGAGCGCUUCGUUCACACCGAAGAGGUCACUGGUUCGAACCCAGUAUCGCCCACCC